rnacentral:rRNA from 1 species
GACGAACGCUGGCGGCGUGCUUAACACAUGCAAGUCGAACGAAGAGCGAUGGACGCUUGCUUCUAUCAAUCUUAGUGGCGAACGGGUGAGUAACGCGUAAUCAACCUGCCCUUCAGAGGGGGACAACAGUUGGAAACGACUGCUAAUACCGCAUACGAUCUAAUCUCGGCAUCGAGGAUAGAUGAAAGGUGGCCUCUACAUGUAAGCUAUCACUGAAGGAGGGGAUUGCGUCUGAUUAGCUAGUUGGAGGGGUAACGGCCCACCAAGGCGAUGAUCGGUAGCCGGUCUGAGAGGAUGAACGGCCACAUUGGGACUGAGACACGGCCCAGACUCCUACGGGAGGCAGCAGUGGGGAAUCUUCCGCAAUGGACGAAAGUCUGACGGAGCAACGCCGCGUGAGUGAUGACGGCCUUCGGGUUGUAAAGCUCUGUUAAUCGGGACGAAAGGCCUUCUUGCGAAUAGUGAGAAGGAUUGACGGUACCGGAAGAGAAAGCCACGGCUAACUACGUG